UACGGGGGGGGCAAGCGUUGUUCGGAAUUACUGGGCGUAAAGGGCUCGUAGGCGGCCAACUAAGUCAUACGUGAAAUCCCUCGGCUUAACCGGGGAACUGCGUCUGAUACUGGAUGGCUAGAGGUUGGGAGAGGGAUGCGGAAUUCCAGGUGUAGCGGUGAAAUGCGUAGAUAUCUGGAGGAACACCGGUGGCGAAGGCGGCAUCCUGGACCAAUUCUGACGCUGAUGAGCGAAAGCCAGGGGAGCAAACGGG
rnacentral:rRNA from 1 species